AACUUGCCCCGAGAUGAGUUCUCCCUGACUCCCUGAGAGUCCUGAAGGAACGUUGAAGACGACGACGUUGAUAGGCCGGGUGUGUAAGCGCAGCGAUGCGUUGAGCUAACCGGUACUAAUGAACCGUGAGGCUUAACCUUACAACGCCGAAG
rnacentral:rRNA from 1 species